GUGUUCUCACUUUGGUGACACAUGUACUAAAAUUGGAAUGAAACAGAGAAGAUUAGCAUGGCUCUAGUACAAAGAUGACAUGCAAAUUCAUGAAGUAUUCCAUAAUUUU